UGCAAGUCGAACGGUAACAGAAAGAAGCUUGCUUCUUUGCUGACGAGUGGCGGACGGGUGAGUAAUGUCUGGGAAACUGCCCGAUGGAGGGGGAUAACUACUGGAAACGGUAGCUAAUACCGCAUAACGUCGCAAGACCAAAGAGGGGGACCUUCGGGCCUCUUGCCAUCGGAUGUGCCCAGAUGGGAUUAGCUAGUAGGCGGGGUAACGGCCCACCUAGGCGACGAUCUCUAGCUGGUCUGAGAGGAUGACCAG
rnacentral:rRNA from 1 species